rnacentral:rRNA from 1 species
GAGUAAAGAUUUCGGUCGCUUUGGGAGGAGCUCGCUUACUAUCAGCUUGUUGGUAGGGUAAUGGCCUACCAAGGCUAUGACGGUUAGGGGGUGUGAGAGCAUGACCCCCAGCAUUGGCACUGAAACACUGGCCAAACACCUACGGGUGGCUGCAGUCGAGAAUCUUCCACAAUGGGGGAAACCCUGAUGGAGCGAUGCUGCGUGCGGGAUGAAGGCCUUCGGGUUGUAAACCGCUUUUGUAGGGGACGGAAUUUUUGACGGUACCCUUUCGAAUAAGAGGUUGCUAACUCUGUGCCAGCAGCAGCGGUAAUACAGAGACCUCAAGCGUUAUCCGGAUUUACUGGGCGUAAAGCGUCUGUAGGGGGUUUAUUAAGUUCCAAGUAAAAUUUCAAGGCUCAACUUUGAAUUCGCUUGGAAAACUAAUAAACUGGAGUCUAGCAGAGGUGCAUGGAACUUGUGGUGUAGGAGUGAAAUCCGUUGAUAUCACAAGGAACACCAAAGGCGAAGGCAUUGCACUGGGCUAGCACUGACCCUGAGAGACGAAAGCGUGGGGAGCAAAACGGAUUAGAUACCCGUGUAGUCCACGCCCUAAACGAUGAAUGCUAAAUGUUCGGGGAUUCGACCCCCUGGGUGUUACAGCUAACGCGUUAAGCAUUCCGCCUGGGAAGUACGGCCGCAAGGCUAAAACUCAAAGGAAUAGACGGGGAUCCGCACAAGCGGUGGAGCGUCUGGUUUAAUUCGACAGUAAGCGUGGUACCUCACCAGGGUUUGACAUCCCUUGACAGCCUUGGAAACAAGGUUUCCUUCGGGCAAGGUGACAGGUGCUGCAUGGUCGUCGUCAGUUCGUGCCGUGAGGUGUUCCGUUAAGUCGGGAAACGAACGAAACCCCUAUUGCAUGUUACAAUUUCUCAUGCAAGACUGCCCGGAUAUACUGGGAGGAAGGUGGGGAUGACGUCAGAUCUGCAUGGUCCUUAUACCCUGGGCGACACAGGCGCUACAAUGGCAGAGACAAAGGGUUGCAAAACCGCAAGGUGAAGCUAAUCCCAAAAACUUUGUCUAAGUUCGGAUUGAAGGCUGCAAUUCGCCUUCAUGAAGCUGGAAUCGCUAGUAGUCGUGAAUCAGCCACGUCACGGUGAAUAUGUUCCCG